rnacentral:lncRNA from 1 species
UGCAACCCAUUCCUACAGGCUCGCUUCUCCGCUCAGUCUACUCCGGUGCAAAUGGCAGCCACCAUGGCCCUCUCCUCUCCUUCCUUCGCCGGGCAGGCGGUGAAGCUCGCCCCCGCCGCCUCCGAGGUCCUCGGCGAGGGGAAGAUCACCAUGAGGAAGACGGCCGCCAAGCCCAAGCCCGUCUCCUCCGGCAGCCCCUGGUACGGCCCCGACCGCGUCAAGUACCUCGGUCCCUUCUCCGGCGAGGCACCCUCCUACCUCACCGGCGAGUUCCCCGGGGACUACGGCUGGGACACCGCCGGCCUCUCCGCUGACCCCGAGACCUUCGCCAAGAACCGGGAGCUGGAGGUCAUCCACGCCCGCUGGGCCAUGCUCGGCGCCCUCGGCUGCGUCUUCCCGGAGCUGCUCGCCCGCAACGGCGUCAAGUUUGGAGAGGCCGUCUGGUUCAAGGCCGGCUCUCAGAUCUUCAGCGAGGGGGGGCUCGACUACCUGGGAAACCCUAGCCUGGUGCAUGCUCAGAGCAUCCUCGCCAUCUGGGCCACGCAGGUUAUCCUCAUGGGCGCCGUCGAGGGCUACCGCGUCGCCGGCGGGCCUCUGGGGGAGGUCACCGACCCGCUCUACCCAGGCGGGAGCUUCGACCCGCUGGGCCUGGCUGACGACCCGGAAGCUUUCGCAGAGCUGAAGGUGAAGGAGAUCAAGAACGGGAGGCUUGCCAUGUUCUCCAUGUUCGGCUUCUUCGUGCAGGCCAUUGUCACCGGGAAGGGCCCCCUGGAGAACCUCGCCGACCACCUCGCCGACCCCGUCAACAACAACGCCUGGGCCUUCGCCACCAACUUCGUCCCCGGCAAGUGAGGUCAUCAGAUCUUCGUCGCCUUGGUUCCGGACGUCCCUCUGAAAUGAUCACAUUUAUGCCUUCCUGCUGAGGUCGUCCCUCGUUGUAAACUACUCGUAUGAACAUGAUUUUUGGAUCCGGGUUUAUGGCCACAAUCUUCCUUCCUUUCUCGUUCGGUUAUAGUGCGGCUCCCCAUGAAAGCAAUCUCCAUUGGGUCUAAACAGAAACAAAUCCAACAGUGCGAUUGCCGACUAAGGGAAGAACUGCAAAAACAAUUAACAUUUUAGAUGAAAUUCAUUUACAGAUGCAUGGCAACUAAAUGAUAAAAAACAACUAUAUAAUGUCUGUUCAAUAAUUUAUCUCAUCAUCAUCCUCAUGUUUUAUAUCUUCCUCCAAAGUUUGAGAUAUCCCC